CUAUUGAAAUACCUCAGUGAACUAAGAAUUAUGUAAUAAAUUUAAAUAUGUUGCUAUAAUAUUUUUCAUGAGUUUAUGAUCUUAUAUUGUUCUAAGUAGGAAAAACAUUGUACUCCUGUAAACACUUAGUCAUAGUUGUGUCUCACCCUUAUUUUUCUUCCACUGAAUCAUUCUUUCCUCCAUUAGGCAUCAGGCAAGCAGUCUCCAAGCAUGAAACAUCAUUCACCUCAUUUCAGACAGACCCUGUGACAAAUUACAGCCUCCUCAGACAUUAAAAAUACAUUGAUCAAGAGAAGUUGUAAGACAUGGAAGAAAAAUUAAUCCAUACCUCUCUUAGAAAAAAAAGAAGGAACCACUUUGCUGAAUGACCUUUGAGCUGAAUAGACCAUCGAGUUUUAAAAGUACCUGCCAGUUUCACAUCCCUUCUGAGAUUUUCAAAAGAAUUGCGAGAUUAUAACUGGCAUGAACCUAGCAGUUGAUUGUGUUAUGUAUGAUCAAAAGACAAUUCAAUCUCUGAUUUUUUUUCCUCAUCUUAAGGAACACACUAGAUCAACCAAAGUCUCACAACAACCCUGUGAAGAAGAUGUGAAGUACAGAAAUGAUGUACUUGCCCAGAGACUCCUACAUGGAUAUCAGAGCUAGUACAUGGAUACAACCAUCCCAUUGGACAACUAAGAAUAUAUGUCAAAAGAUUCUGGAGCAAAGUCCCUGAAGAGAACACAUUGAAGCAACAGGUGAUAACUAUAAAGGCCUGGUGUGUGUGCUCAGCUAUUAUUUAUAACUUUAAAGAGCAACUGAAUGAUUUUGGACCUCUGCUGAAAUUCAAACCAAAUUAGAAGCCAGACGGUUGUUACCCAUAAUCCCCACAUGAGAUGAAUCCCAGGAAGCCCAUCUGCUUGAAUUCCCCAUUUCCACAUGGAAGUUAGGAUCUCCAGCUAUUCAUAAUCUGCCCUUUCCUUACCCCAUGGGGAGAAGCUGGCUGUGCAACUCCAUUCUGUCUGCACUUAACACAACCACGGGAUGCCAGGAGAAGUCCUGCUGGCUGCAAACGGUGAGGGCCUCUGGUGCAAUUAGAAGAGACUGAAAAGGCACAGAAGCAGAGCAUAAGCAUUGGACAGACUCGUGAACUACAGGAGGAGGUGUAAAAUGAUGAACUAGAACUGGACUAUGUCCAAGAACUGUGGCAAUUCUAAAAUAAUGUGGUUCUAUGAAUGCACAGGCAUCCGAGCUUGAUAUUUAUGAUCCUGGUUGGAUGCAUCUCUGGAAGCACAGCAGUACCGCAGCCAAGUUUAAAAAGAAUACCUUCAUUAAUUAAUUUUCCAACACCAGAAUACGUGACAAGGGUCCCAGGGAAGACAAACUCAGGCAGAAAAUUUAAAACCAUAAGAAAUUGCAAAGAUUGAAGGCCACGCAAAUCCUACGGUGGUAUUGUGGGUGGGCAGUGCUCCAGAAAUUGUCCCCCCCGCCCAUUUCAUAUUUCCUUCCCCUUAAGGAAGUCCCCUUUUUCUGUUUGCCCACCUUUGUUCAUGGAGGUGGCCUCUUGCCUCUGGCUGUGUUUGCUACUGGUAGCAAAGCUUUAAACCUUCUCCAGUAAAAGGCACACAGAAGAAACACCGCGUAUUAUAAAGAAGCAUAAAUACCCUUCACAAACAGAAUGAAAAGGCCCAUUCCUCAUGUGGAAGACAAGGCAUUGUCUUUCUGACAAGCUUUACCUUCGAGCCCAGAGGACACCAUUAGAGCACUUUUCCCUUCUUCCCAAUAAAACCACUGAGACUGGAUCUGCCAACAUGAUUGUCUCACGGUUGUGGUGCAUUAGAGAAAUGGAAGGUGUCCCUUGCUCCCUGACACGAGCUUUCACCUUUACUAUAGCUUGCAGUGAGGCACAGAAAUAAAAGCAGCUGCAAGACGAAUUCCAGUUUCCUCUUCAGUCCUUUAUUGUGGUCGUAUUGUGGGAAAAUAAAAACAUGUCUUCCAUUUUAAUAUAGGCCAAAGUCUGAUGAACUGGAAAUAGAGGAAGAACACAUAUGAAAGAGCUUACGUGUCAGGUGGACCAUUUGUGUCUGGCACGUGUUAUACUUUCCACUUAACUAUAUUUAGGGUAUUAAUUAUGGUCCAAUGCUGCUUUCCUGCCUGAGGAGCAAUGAGAGAAAAAAAAAUGCCCAGCGAUGUUUUUGAAUAGAAAGAGUAAAAAGUGGAGCAUCUUUUAAAAUAUGUGGGAUUCUUAAAAUUACAUAUGGGGCUACAUAUGGAAAAUAGGACUUGUCUCAUAUCUGUUCAUUCAUUUUUAGGAAAACCCACACAGGUACUCGUUUAUAUU